GACGAACGCUGGCGGCGUGCUUAACACAUGCAAGUCGAACGGAAAGGCCCUGCUUUUGUGGGGUGCUCGAGUGGCGAACGGGUGAGUAACACGUGAGUAACCUGCCCUUGACUUUGGGAUAACUUCAGGAAACUGGGGCUAAUACCGGAUAGGAGCUCCUGCUGCAUGGUGGGGGUUGGAAAGUUUCGGCGGUUGGGGAUGGACUCGCGGCUUAUCAGCUUGUUGGUGGGGUAGUGGCUUACCAAGGCUUUGACGGGUAGCCGGCCUGAGAGGGUGACCGGCCACAUUGGGACUGAGAUACGGCCCAGACUACUACGGGAGGCAGCAGUGGGGAAUAUUGCACAAUGGGCGGAAGCCUGAUGCAGCAACGCCGCGGGCGGGAUGACGGCCUUCGGGUUGUAAACCGCUUUCGCCUGUGACGAAGCGUGAGUGACGGUAAUGGGUAAAGAAGCACCGGCUAACUACGUG
rnacentral:rRNA from 1 species